rnacentral:lncRNA from 1 species
UCCCGUGGUAAUCCCGUACUCUCUGCAGAGGCCCCUGCUAUAAUAUCUUGAGCAAUCUGGUGAAGACGAGAAACUGGAAGGCAACUGCUGACGCUGAAAAACCGGAUCAGUACGGAACCUAUCCGACAUGACCCCUAUCAGCAGCAGAAAGAUAUCGUCAUCCAAGCCAGCACCCGUAUGAGAUGGUCCGACAUGUACUCUCGGACGAUGGCGCUGGCUGGAGCCUAUAAAGAGAUACAAAUUCGAUUACUAAUAAUAAUUUAUAUAAUGUGAUAAAUUCGGAUAAUUUCGUGAAACAUAAUAAAAUAUUACCUUCAGGAAGUGUAUAUGCGGGUAUCCUCGGCAGACCCAACAAUCGAUAUCUGCUGGUACUGCUAGUAGGGGGAUCCUGAGACGCGACCCAUAGUCUCAGCUCCUCAUCCCGAUCUAAUACAAUAUUGGGAAGAGGGGUGGCGGAAUC